UACGGAGGGUGCAGGCGUUGUUCGGAUUUACUGGGCGUAAAGCGCGCGCAGGUGGGUGAACAAGUCGGACGUGAAAUCUUGAGGCUCAACCUCGAGGCUGCUCCCGAAACUGUUCGCCUAGGGACUGGUAGAGGCUGGUAGAAUUCCCGGUGUAGCGGUGGAAUGCGUAGAGAUCGGGAAGAAUACCUGUGGCGAAGGCGGCCAGCUGGGCCAGAUCCGACACUGAGGCGCGAAAGCGUGGGGAGCAAACAGG
rnacentral:rRNA from 1 species